CUCCUCUGGCUUUCUUGCUGCAUGUAGAAUCUAGGAUGGGUUGUUUCAUAUUUUCCUUAUCAACUUCCUGGAACCCUGCGUAAUGCUGGUUGAUGACAACUGGAUAGUUGUUCGGGGGUCUAUUUCAAAAUGGCCUAUAGUUGUGGGGAUCAUCAUACUAUUUAUCCUUCUCAAUAUAUUUGAGGGUUAUCCCAAUAUUGUGACUUAGUCCUCGAACCUAUUCCGUAAACACUUGUCCCUUAUCUUUCACAUAUUCUUGCAGUUCAUCCCUGGCCAUCACUUUGGUCCAUAUGUUCCAGGCAAGAUCUCUCAUUAGCACGCUUCAGUGUAAUUUAAUCACUAGAGGAUUGGCGCGUGAGUCGUAAUUGGGGGCAAGAAGAAGUACAGGGCAUGCUCCCUCCUUUGUAUAAGCCCCGCUGUCUACUUUCUCUUGCACCACAAAAAGCAGAAGAAAAAAAGAAAACAUUUUAAUGUUGAUAUGGGAUGGUGAUAAUAGUUUAAGAAGCUUCGGCUUCAUUUGAGGAUGCCUCCUAUGUUGAUGGCGUCAGAUUGCCAUCUUCUUGAUUCCUCUCAUAUUUCUAGAUUCUAGCUAAAGCAACUAUUAUCUUUUUUUUUAAUUACAUCUCCAUUUCUCUUCUUGAUGUCUUAUUUUUUUCUUCUUCUUCUUCUUGUUAAUUGCUGCUGUUAUUGUUAAUUUUACUAUAGUGGUGGUGGUGGUGGGUGGAGUCUAUCGUCUCCCCAUCCCCUCCCGAAAGGGAAAACCCAAAAAACUUCGCUUUUCGGUUUUGACCAAGCCUUCAUUCUUGGUUUUGGCUGUAUAUAUAUAGAGAGAGAGAGAGUUUGCGAUUAACUAUUUAACCCUUGGAUUUCAGCAGUAGGUGCAUGGCAUGGAAAUCUUGGAAGGCACUACUCUUCUACAGGCAACCAUUUUUCCAUGUGAGGCCUUGAAUGUACCAGAAGAUAUAUCUACUCCUUUUCUAAUGUAAUACUCUGUUUGGCACCAAAUCGUUGUAGAAGUGAGUAUAUUUGCAAUCCUGUGAGGGCAUUUUUGGAGCAAAAAUGCAAAUUAUGGUAGAUCCGACCACAAACCAGUGGAUCUGCCUAGAAUUGCUGAAAUCAUUUGAAACCAUUGAAAAUCAAUUCAAUCCACACCUGCUAAUGUUUCCAAGGAUUAACGAGUUCUUGUUUGCAAUUUCGUUCAAAUCAGUGAUUCAAAGGAUUCUAAACAGGGUGCAAAGGAGGCUGUGAUGGUUGCCAACCUGGGUGCCAACGGUUUGUCCAAGCCAUUUCUUCUUUGCUGAGUGUACAAAAUAAACAGCUCUUUUAGUAUCAGUUCUCCUUUGGUAAAUUGGAAGGUCUGCUAAUUUAGCAGGCAACCUUUACCACCAUAUAUUAUAAUGGUGCAAGAAUUAUAUGAUGCCUUUUGAAUAAAGUGGGGGAAAUGGUUGAGAACAGACUAAUUGAAGCUUUAGGUGGGUCUCUUGUGAUGUCAUCGACAACAAUACUGCCACAUUACUGCUACAUAUGUGAGACAUCACCAUCCACUCAACUAAAUUGGCUUGUGAGAUUUGAUUGCAACAGUCAAGGAAGUUCGAGACAGAAAAUUGUAGCAAUUAUAGUUUGAGGGCCAAAGUGUCACCCGCCUCAUAGUUUGAGAACCAAAAGUGUAAUUUAGCCUUUAUUUUAGCUAACAAACCACUGAGGGUGAAAAGACAGCGUUUUCUAGGAACUGGCUCCUGUGAUGCACCAGGUGCAGGCAAUAAUUUUCCUCUCUAUGCUAUGUGUGGCAGCACUCAAUUGGAAGGUCUGCUGUUUUGCAGGCAACCUUGUUCUGUCCUUUGUCUUUAAGGUGCAUAAGACUACAUGAUGCCUCUUGAAAUGUUCGAAUAGCAGGUCAGAGCCUCCCUUUCUUGCUUUCUUUUCAGCUAAAAUGUAUAUCGUGCUGACCGUCCAUAUGUCCUCGUGCUGGCUGAAUGCUUCAAUUGGACAGACCCUUAAUGUCUUGUGCAAUGGUAAGGAAAUAUUUCUCCUUCAUUUUACUUGCCAAAGAAUGCUGUGAUGAUUGCCAAUUGGGAAGGCACGUCAACUUAUUUUAUCAUGCCUUUUGACUCUCGGCAGAGCACAAAAGCUGAUUGAAAUACUAGAUUUAAGAGGCAAUAUAGUCAGGUCAAACCAAAGAUCUUGAUUGGGUUUUGAUAAUUCGAGUGGCAUCUGAAUCUUGUUUGUUGGUUAGCUUGGUGCUUCUACACCCCUUGAGUGCCCGUCACACACUUGUAUGCUGAUUCAGAUGUGGAUAUCCAAGCAUACAUCUCUCUUUCUCUCUCUCUCUUUGUCACGCCCCAGUUUCUUGGAGCGCCACCCAUUCUAGAACUACUCUAGCCGUAGGUUUGCUCAACCCUCUUAACCUUUUGGGCUUAGCCGCUGCUCAAAAUGGUAUUGCUAGGUUAAGAGGUUUAUCUCUAUAAUACCUUAUAUAUAGGACUUCCAAAUCCUAGGGGUGUCACAUUCUCCUCUCGGUUACCUGCUUCCCUCUUUUAGGCUCUGACGUCCUCUCAGGUUCAAACACACUCACAAGCACCGCCGAUGUGAGACUCGUCUUCCUAGCCUUAGAUAACCUUGUGGGGAGCCGCGCUCCACCCACAAUGGCCGUCAGUCGGAGAGCCGUGCUUUUGCCCGUUUUAUGACCCUGGCUCAGCCAAGGAUCAUCUCACACUUAUGGUUGGUGAUUGGCUUUGAUACCAACUGACGCCUCGCUUCCCAGAGGGGUCAUCCAUCCAAGAACUACUCUAGCCUUAGGCUUGCUCAAUCCUCUUAAUCUCUUAGGCCUAGUCACUGCUCAAAAUGCUAUAGCCGGGUUAAGAGGUUUAGCCCUACUAUAUCUUAUAUAUAAAACUAUUCCAAAUCCCGGGAGUCUCCCUCCCCCUCUCCCCCUCCCACCCCCCCCUCCUGAUUGUCUCAUGCCCUAAUGACCAUUUAUAGUCAUAAUCUAUUUCAAGUAAUUUUGGAUUCGAUCAAAUAUCAUAUUUCUAUUUGUUAUAUAAAAUUAUGUGCAAGGCAUGUGAUCAAAACAGUAGCUCAAUUAGUAACUUCACCUGAACAGAGGGGUUCACUAAACUAUUUGAUAAAGUUUUUGCGGUUUUGUUGCCAAAAAGUAAAAGUUUAGGCUCCUGUUUGCAAAAGUGUUAAAGUGCAGAGUACUAAUUUUUGAUGUUUAUAUAUCUAAAAUCAUUUUCUUAAAAUGUAACUGGAAAUUGCCAAGCAGCUCUGGACUGUCUGCUCUUCUGCAGGCUACAGAGCUGCAGCCAUUAUUCCAGAAAUGUUGUGGCGGCGGCGGCUGCAGCUGCAGUUGGUGAUCAUUCAUAAUGAAGAUGAGGAUGAUGAUUAUAACCUUUAAAGAGGCUUCUACCGCAUCUAAAGAGGCCUCCUAUGUCGAUGGCAUCUGAUUGUCAUAUUCUGAUACGGUGAUACCUCUCGUAUUUCUCAAUCCUCGCUUAACUAUCAUCAAUUUUUUUUUCUACUUCUCCAUUUCUCUUCAUGAUGACUUGUUGUUGUUGCUGCAGCUGAUGGUGUUCUUGUUAUUGUUGCUGUUGUUAUUAUUAUUGUUAUUGAGGUCGUGGGGUUGGAGGUGGGUGGAGUCUGAAUGUCUCCCCGCCCCUUCCUGAAAGCCGAAACUUAGAAAACUUCGCUUUGCUGGGUUGACUAAGCCUUCAUUCUUGGUUCUGGUUAUAUAUAUCUAUAUAUAUAUAGAUAUAGAUAUAGAUAUAUAGAAACAGCUUGUAUUUGGGGGACAAAAAGGACAAAACAAACAGCAAUGAAACCAAAUGAGGCGUUAAGUUUACAGUAGUAGUUGCAUGGCAUGGUAAUUUGGAAGGCUCUGCUUUUCCGCAAGCAAUCAUUUUUCCAUGUCUUUUCUUUUUUAUACUUGGUGAAAUGGUUGAGAACAAACUGAUUGAAGCUUUUGGUUGUCUCUUGCGAUGUCAUCAACCACAAUGCUGCCACAUUACUGCUAUAUUAAUGAGACAUCACCAUUCACUUAACCAAAUUGGCCUGUGAGACUUGAUCGCAACAAUCAAGAAAGUACGAGCUACAAAUUGCGGCUAUUAUUGUUUGGGGACCAAAGUGUCACCUGCCUCAUAGUUUGAGGACCAAAAGUGUAAUUUAGCUUUAUUUUAUCUAUCAACCCUUGGAACAGGCAUUAAUUUUCCUAUCUCAGCACUCUGUUGGAAGGUCUGCUGUUUUGCAGGCAACCUUGUUCUGUCAUUUGUGAUGCCUCUUGAUGUGAACGAAUGGCAGGUCGGAGCCUCUCUGUCCUUCUACUUUCUUUUCACUGUUGAUAUUUCUCAUGCUGACCGUCCAUAUGUCCUCAAUCCUCUUGCUGACUGUAUGCUUCAACCGGAAGGCCCUUACUGUUUCAUGCAAUAUUAAGGAAGUGUUUUUCCUUCGUUGUACUUGUCAAAGGAGGCUGUGAUGAUUGCCACUUGGGAAUGCACCUCAACUUCUUUAAUCCUUGCUUUGGAUUCUCGGCGUAGUGUAGAAGCUGACCAAAAUACUGGGUAUAAGAGGCAAUAUAGUCAACUCAAACCUGAGACCUUGGUUGGGUUUUGACAGUUCGGGUGGGAUUUGAAUCUUUUUUUCUUUUUUUUUUUAAUUUUAUAUUUUAGUCCUUUUACACCCCUUGAGAGGCCUUUACGUGGUUCAUUUGUGGGAUAGACAGCAUCUCAGUGGAUGGCUUUUGGCUGACAUGAUCACCUGGUGUAGGCUAUAAUUUUUCCUUUCUCAGCAGCUCAUAUAACCAACAUUAAGUACCUGUAGCAGGACUUAAAUUGGAAGGUCUACUGUCUUGGAUGCAACAUUUUGCUGUCGUGUCUUUAAGGUGCAGAAGAUUGCAAGAUCCCUUGCGAGAUGAUUAAGUGGCAAAUCUGAGCCUCCAUUUUCUUCUCCUACUUUCUUUUAGCUAUUAGGAUUUGGUGGUACAUUAUUUAUUUUUCCCAUUUUUUCUUUUCCUCCUCUGGCCUUCUUACUGCAUGUAGAACCUAGGUGGGUUGUUUUCAAAUAUUCCUUAUCUACUACCUGAAAUGUGACACUCUACUUCAUGCUGGUUGAUGCUAAAUCAUUUAUCCUGUAUGUCUUCAGAUUUAGGCAACUUGUUAGUCUUUUAGAUUUUGAAAAGAACUAAAAACAGAUAAAGAUUCGGAUGUUUGGCAUGUAUAUCUGUAUAUUUGCAUGCUGAUUCAAAUGUGGGUAUCCAGCAUACUUGUAUAUCUACUUUUCCAUUUCUCUUCUUGAUGCCUUGUUGUUGUUGCUGCUGCUGCUGUUGUUAUUCUUGUUAUUAUUAUUAUUAUUACUAUUGUUAUUGUUAUUGUGGUCGCAAUGGUGGUGGUAGAGGUGGGGUGGAGUAUCGUCUCUCCGCCCCUUCCUGAUGGGGGAAACCCACAAAAAUUUGCUUUUCGGGUUGACCAAGCCUUCAUUCUUGGUUCUGGUUCUAUAUAUAUAUAUAUACAUACAAACUGUUUGUAUAUAGAGGAAAAAAGAAAAAGAAAAAAGCAACGAAACCAAAUGAAGCCUUAUUAAGGUUUCAGUGGAAGGUGCAUGGCAUGGCAAUUUUGGAAGGCUCUGCUUUUCUGCGAGCAACCAGUUGUCCAUGUGUUGCCUUGCUUAGAUUUGCCGAAAUGGCUGAGAGCAAACAAAUUGAAGCUUUCGAUGGGUCUCUUGGUUGUCAUCAACCACAAUACUGCUGCAUUACUGCUACUUUAGUGAGACCACCAUUUACUCAACAAAAUUGGCCUAUGAGACGAUUGCUACAAUCAAGAAAUUUUCGAGCCAGAAACUGCAAGUAUUAUAGUUUUGAGGACCAAAGUGUCAUCUGCCUCAUAGUUUGAGCACCAAAGUGCAAUUUAACCUUAUUUUAUCAAACGAACCAAGGAACAGGCAAUAAUUGUCCCAUCUCACCUGCCUGUGGCAGUACUCAAUUGGAACUCAAUUGGAAGGUCUGUUGUUUUGCAGGCAACCUUGUUCCAUCAUUUAUCUUAAAGGUGCAUAAGAAUACACGAUGCCUCUUGAUAUGAUUGAAUGGCAGGUCAGAGCCAACUUCUUUCAUCCUCUCUUUUGUUAUACUUGUCAAAGGAGGCUGUGAUGAUUGCCACUGGGGAAUGCACCUCAGCUUCUUUAGUCCUUGCUUUUGAUUCUUGUUGGAGUGCAGAAGCUGACCAAAAUACUAGGUAUAAGAGAGUCAACUCAAACCUGAGACCUUGGUUGGGUUUUGACAGUUCAGGUGGGAUUUGAAUCUGGUUUUUUUUGGUUAUUUUGGUUCUUUUACACCCCUUGAGACGCCUUUGCAUGGUUCAUUUGUUGGAUAGACAGCAUCUCAGUGGAUGGCUUUUGGCUGACAUGAUCACCUGGUGCAGGCUAUAAUUUUUCCUUUCUCAGCAGCUCAUAUAUGACCAACAUUAGGUACCUGUAGCAGGACUUAAAUUGGAAGGUCCACUGUCUUGGAUGCAACCUUUUGCUGUCGUGUCUUUAAGGUGCAGAAAAUUACAAGAUCCCUUGCGAGAUGAUUAAGCGGCAUAUCUGAGCCUCCGUUUUCUUCUCCUACUUUCUUUUUAGCUAUUAGGAUUUGGUGCUACAUUCUUUAUUUUUCCUUUUUUUUCUUUUCCUCCUCUGACCUUCUUACUGCAUGUAGAACCUAGGUGGGUUGUUUUCAAAUAUUCCUUAUCUACUUCCUGAAACGUGACACCAUACUUCAUGCUGGUUGAUGCUAAAUCAUUUAUCCUGUAUGUCUUCAGAUCUAAGGCAACGUGUUAGUCUUUCAGAUUUUGAAAAGAACUAAAAACGGAUUAAGAUUCGGAUGUUGGGCAUAUAUAUCUGUAUACUUCUAUGCUAAUUCAAAUGUGGGUAUCCAACAUACAUGUAUAUCUACUUUUCCAUUUCUCUUCUUGAUGCCUUGUUGUUGAUGCUGCUGCUGCUGUUGUUAUUAUUAUUAUUAUUUUUGUUAUUAUUAUGGUCGCAGUGGUGGUGGUGGAGGUGGGUGGAGUCUAUCGUCUCUCCACCCCUUCCUAGGGAAACCCACAAAACUUUGCUUUUUGGGGUUGACCAAGCCUUCAUUCUUGGUUCUGGUUAUAUACAUACAUACAAACAUUUUGUAUAUAGAGGAAAAAAGAAAAAGAAAGGAAAAAGAAAGCAACAAUAACAACGAUACCAAAUGAAGCCUUAAGGUUUCAGUAGUAGGUGCAUGGCAUGGUUAUUUUGGAAGGUUCUGAUUUUCUGAGAGCAACCAAUUUUCCAUGUGUUGUUUUGCUUAGACUUGCCGAAAUGGCUGAGAACAAACAAAUUGAAGCUUUCGCUGGGUAUCUUGGGAUGUCAUCAACCAUAAUACUGCUAUGGUAGUGAGACAUCACCAUUUACUCGACCAAAUUGGCCUGCGAGAUGAUUGCAAGUUUUGCAACAAUCAAGAAAGUUUGAGCCAGAAAUUGCCAGUAUUAUAUUUUUGAGGACCAAAUUGUCAUCUGCCUCAUAGUUUGAGCACCAAAAGUGAAAUUUAGCCUCAUUUUGUCUAACAAACCACAGAACAGGCAAUAAUUUUCCUAUUUCACCUACCUGUGGCAGCACUCAAUUGGAACUCAAUUGAAUGGUCUGCUGUUUUGCAGGCAACCUUGUUCCAUCAUUUAUCUUAAAGGUGCAUAAGAAUACAUGAUGCCUCUUGAUAUGAUCGGAUGGCAGGUCAGAGCCUCUCUUUCCUUGUGCUUUCCUUUCAGCUAUUAAUAUUUCUCAUGCUGACUGUUCAUAUGUCCUCAUUCUGACCGUAUGCUUCAAUCAGACUGGCGCUUAAUGUUUCAUUCAAUCUUAAGGAACUGUUUCUCAUUCAUUUUACUUGUCAAAGGAGGCUGUGAUGAUUGCCAGUUGGGAAUGCACCUCAACUUCUUUUAUCCUCUCUAUUGAUUCUCGGCGGUGUAAAAACUGAUCGAAAUACGGGAUAUAAGAGCCAAUAUAGUCAGCUCAAUCCUUAGAUCCUGAUUGUGUUUUUAUAAUUCGGGUGGGAUUUGAAUCCAGUUUGUUGGUUAGUUUUGUCAUUUUGCUUCCCUUGAGAGCCUCUCGCUUCGUUAAUUCGUGGGAUAGACAGCAUCUCAGUGGGUGGCUUUUGGCUGACAUGAUUCACCGGGUGCAGGCAAUAAUUAUUCCUUUCUCAGCAGCUCAUCAGGCCAACAGUAGCUCCUGUAGCAGUAGUUAAAUUGGAAGGUCUGCUGUCUUGCAGGCAACCUUAUGCUGUUCAUAUCUUUAAGGUGCAUAAGAUUACAAGAUCCCGAUCCCUCAUGAGGUGAUUGAAUGGCAUAUCUGAGCCUCCAUUUUAUUCUCCUAAUUCCUUCUUAGUUAUUAAGAUUUAGUGGUACAUUCAUUUUUUUCGUAGCUAUUAAGAUUUAAUAGUACAUUCAGUUUUUUCUGUUUUAUUUUUAAUUUUUCAUCCUCUGGCUUUCUUACUGCAUGUAGAAUCUAGGAUGGGUUGUUUCAAAUAUUCCUUAUCAACCCCGUGAAACCCUACUUUAUGCUGGUAGAUGAUGACUGGAUAGAAGUUUGGGUGUCUAUUUCAAAAUGGUCUACAGUUGAGGGAAUGUUCAUCCUAUUUAUCCUUCUCAAUAUACCUGAUGGUUAAAAUGUAUUGAUAGUCCGUCUUAUCCCAAUACUAUCCCCAUAUUGUGACUUAGUCCUUGAACCUUUUCCAUAAACGCUCCUCUCUCACCUUUCCUUUAUUCUUGGAAUUUCAUCCCUGCCGUCUUUUUGCUCCAUAUGUUGCAAGCAAAAUCUCUCGUUAGAACUCUGCAUUGUAAUUUAAUCACUAGAGAGGAUUGGCAGGCGCGUGAUCAGUAAUUGGAGGUAGCUCUGGAUGGUCUGCGCUUCUGCAGGCAACCUAGCUUGCAACCAUUUAUCCGGUCAUGGUUGGGGCAGAGGAGGAGGUGGUGGUAGUGGUAAGGAUUGGAUAUAUGUGGGUUCAUAUGAUCCUCUUCUCUGAUUAUGGUAUCAUCAUUGUUAUCUUCUUGGCACUUGCUUAUUCUCUUGAUCGAAGUUCCUGUAAAGGAUAUCUUUUAUCAUUUAUUUCUAUUUCGCAAUUCCUGUUCCUUGAUGUGUUUCAGUAUUUGUGGAAGUUUUUGCUGAUCCUCUUCAAGAUAGGUGGAAUAACCACUUUUGUGGAGUAAAGCUUCUCCCUGCGGCCUUCUGAGAUGGGUACCCAUGAAAUUUUGUGCCUCAGUGUUGAUGAAUGGCUAAAAAUCAAGCUUUCUGAUUUUGAUUGUGCAUUCUUCAUAUGGGUUUACAUCAAGUUGGUCGGUUAGCUCGGUCCAUUGACACCUCUAAUCUGAGCCGUGCUUCAUUCAUUCGUGGGAUGGAUGACAUCGCAGUUGGUGGUGCAUGUCUGAUGUGGUGCACCGGGUGCAGGCCAUAAUUUCUCCUAUCUCUGCAGCCCAUAAGGGCGUCGUUUUGGGGUUCACGUAGCAAUACUCAAUUGGAAGGUCUGCAUUCUUGCAGGCAACCUUACAAAGUCAUUUGUCUUUAAGGUGCGUAAGACUACAUGAUGCCUCAUGAUAUGAUUGAAUGGCAGAUCUGAGCCUCCCUUUUCUUCUUGUUUCUUUUCAGCUAUUAAGAUCUAUUCUAGUUAUUUUCUUCUUCUCUGUGUUUGCUUCUGCAUGGAGAAGCUAGAUCAUCAAUUCCUAUUCCCUCUACUUUUCAGUGGUUGAUGAAGAUCAGAUUGAGUUGGUGACUUGGUCGGCCUAUUUCAAAAUGGCCUAUGGUUGAUGGGUAUUCAUACAUUUUACCUUCUUAAUAUGGGUGGGAAUAAAAAUCAGAUAUUAUUUUUCAUAUGAGGCUGGUGUUAUUGUUAACUUUUUAUGAGGGGUGAGAAGUAUUUAUAGUCCCUGUACUAUUCCGAUAUUGCAACUUUGUCCAAACUCCAUCCAUGACCUUCACUUUGGCACAAGUGUAGUCAAUAGUUUCCUGUUAGACCUCUGCAGUGUAAUUCAACCACUAGAGACGUUCCAAGUGUGAUCUAGCAAUGCUGAGGCAGCUAUGGACGGUCUGCCUUUCUGCAGGCAACCUAGCUGGACCCCUUAAAUGUAACCAUGAUCAGCCAUGAAGAUAUAGCAUGCCUGUGCAGCUUCAUCUUUAAGACUCUUCCUCUGUUGAAAGUUUGGAGUGCCGUCUUCGUGAUACAUUUGUUCUCUUGAUCCUGUUAAGAAUGUUAGUCCCUUAUUUGUUACUUGAGCGUUUUGGGUUGGUUCAAGACCUUUGGCAUAUCCAAGUUCUAGUGAGGGAUAUUUUUAUCUUUACUUUUUUCUGUUAUUCCAUCUCUCCUUUGUGAUGCAUUUGAUUAUUUGGAGAAGGCGGUAAUGAUUUCUAGCGUGUUGCACAUGAGUAUUCUUCCAAAAUGAACGAUGCAUCUCCCCCAAGCUUCCUGAGACUCGAAGUUUGAAACCCGUGAAACACUGCUUUUAGGUUUCAAAUCUUGGAAGGCUCUGCUCUUCAGCAGGCAACCAGUUUUGCGUUCAGGUUUCAACCAGUUUUUUUUUUGAAGUUUUUCUUUUCUUUUUUUUUUUUUUUUUUUUUGAUUAAACAGGGAUAUACCCUNAGUUUUAGACUUUGUUAUCUACCCCCUUAGAAGGCUAAUAUACAAAAAAAACCCUUUUAACAUUCCAAAUUCUUACAAAUAUAUCCCUAGAGUUAAAUUUUUAGUGAACGGUUAGGAACAGUUGUUAUCUAUGUGAAAUUACUAUUUUGCCCUUUCUAAUAUAGCCUUCUGCGGUCACCGAUUUUUCUUAUUUGUCCAUAAGUUUGGGGCAAAAGAAGUAUUUUGACUGCUUGCCCUUUCAAAUAUAGCUUUCUACCGUCACAAACUUUUCUUAUUUGCCCGUAAGUUAGGGGCAAAAGAGAUAUUUUUGCCUUCUUUUUAACUCUGGUAGAAAUUUAAUCCGGGUUUAACUCGAGAUGACUUAACGGGUACUAACAGCAGAAAUAUUUUUGAAUAACGGAAAAAAAUAUAAGGGGUAUAUUUGAAAUAAAAAAAAGUAGGGGUAUAUAAGAUAUUUCAGAAGUUUUGAGGAAUAUAUAAGUAAUUAUCCCUUUUCUUUAUUAUAUAUUUGAAACAAACAUGGUUGCAUCCAGUAUAUGAUUUGGACCAGCAGUUAAGAACUCAUGGUUUCCAACCCUGUCCGAUAAAUUUUUGUAUCUGAAUUUGUAUUUGGAGAAAUACGGGUAUGGAAGUAGUCAGUUGCUGUCUGAACAAUAUCCGAUGCGUUUUCAUCCCUAGUAAUGUGACAGGUACUGAUUUAAUAUUCUGAAGAAGAGAUAUAGUUGCUUCUCACCCUCUAAGAAGGAAUCAUUAUCCUGAAAUUUCUUUCUUAAUACCCAUAUUGUUGUCUUGGAUGCUUCACUUCCCAGGUGGGUCACCCAUCCUAGAACUAUUCUAUCUCUAGGCUCACUCAGUCUUUUUAACCUUUUGGUUCUAGCCACCACCAAAAAGCUAUAGCUGGGUUAAGAGGUUUAGUCCUGUAUUACCUUUUAUAUAAGACUAUUAUAAAUCCUGGGGUGUUACGUCUCUUUUCAUUUUAAUUUUUUUUGCAGUGGAAAUCUUUUUAGAUUGUUUUAAGUUUUUCUUAACUUUCUCGUAUGUCAUGCAUCUAGGUAGUCUUCUUAAUCUUUGUUGUUAGAACCUUUUUGACUCUCUCUACUCUCUCUACCUGGAUUCAACCGUUAACCAGAUAGAAUUGUCCUCUUCUUGUUCUGCAGAAUGUAUUCACCUAUACAUGAACAAAUAAUAUGCAUUUUUUUUUAUAAUUUACCUCGGAAUAUUUACUUUGUUUUUUUGAUUAAUUAGAUCACUGCAGUAGGCAAGUUUUUUUUUUUUUUUGGUUUAUACAAUCUGUUUCCAGCAUAUUUAUUUUAAUGGCUUUUCUGUUUUCUGAAUUAGUAUUUUGUCGUUGACAUUUUGUUGUAUUCCAGCUUCUUUUAUUGUACCUUUUUAUGUUCUUUCAACAUACUUGUACAUCUUUUUUCUCUUUAUGCUAGUAAUCUCUAGCUACCAUUUUACCUUGAACCCUAAAUCCUAAACCCUUGGGGCAUGUUUGGUUCAUGAUUGGAAUGAGAACGGAAAGUGGAAUGAUGAAUCAUCCCUAAAUGUUUGGUUCAUUAUUGGAAUGGAAAUCAGUAUGAACAAUUGGGACACUUAGGAUUAUGAGAGAAGGUUUUGGUUGAGAGAGAAGAGAGUGACGAAGAGAGAGGGGGAAAGGUGAUUACGCGAGAGGGUUUUGAAUGAUUUACUCUGGAAUUGGCUAGUUUAGGAUUCAAAGCUGGAUUGAGUUAUAAAUGGAUUGGGCCAUUCCCAUUCUAGAGUGGCAUGAAAAUCAGAAUCUGAUUCCUAUAAACAAACAACAACUAUCGGAAUCAGUAAAUCAGUAUAUCCUAUUCCAAUUAUAGGUGAACCAAAACAUCCCUUAUUUCCUACUCACUCUCUUCAAAAUUUUCUUAUUGGAUAAUUUGAAUGUGUAAUGGCUGUUUAGAUAGUUUCUUAUCAAUGUAUAAUGGUCAAUGCCACCAAUCAAAUGAGAGGAAUAAGAGGGAUGUGUUAAAAUAUUAAAAAUGGAAGGGGAAAAAGAAUGCAAAUAUUAAGUCUGGAAAGGUAAAUAUGCAAAUUUUAAAUACUGCAGAGGUAAAAGAUACAAAGUUAACUCCUCAUCUUGGAAAAUUCUAGAUGCAUUUUAGAAAAAAUUAAUUUGCAUCAUAUAGCUAAGAAAUUCGGUUGUACUGGGAACAAGAGCUCUUUUAUGUUGGAUGUCCAUAUGCUUGGGUUUUUGUUCAAACAGGCUGUUUGGCCUUGUUUGGAUGUCGUCCAAUGUUAACUUAUUUCAGUAUGAGAAUUUUCUUGUAUUAUUGGAAGCAAGGAGUUUGCUUUUUGCUCUUUAGAAGGUCUUAGCAUUCAUGAUUUGGUAGGAUAACAUAUUUCAUCCCACAAGAUGAUUUAUCCAAUUGUAAAAAAUAGUAAUAAUAACUUGAAGGUUGAAUAUGGUACACUUCUCAUUCAAUAUGUUCAUGCAUCUAAGCAGGGCCUCAAUGUCUUACACUGAUGUCCAAGUAUUUCUUCAUUUUCCUUGCCAAAGGAGGCUGUGAUGAUUGCCAGUUCAGAAUGCAUCUUAAAUUUGAGUCAGGUUGGCAGCAUAUUGUGCCCAUUGACACCUCUAAGACGAAUAUCCCUCAUUAAUAUGCGGGAUGAAUGGCAUUGCAGUGAGCGGUUCAUGGCUGACGUGGUGGACCUGGUGCAGGCAAUAAUUUCUCCUUUAUCCACAUCUUUUGGGUACCUUUUUGUUGAGGAAUUCUACACUGUCACACUUGCACCAUGUCAUCAAUAACAAGCCAAUCACAUUUCUUCUUUUCAAACAAGAGUACAAUAAAAAUAUUUUUUUACAAUCAUGUUGGGACAUAUAUCCCUGAAAGGAGACAUUUGAUUGGUUUGUUACGCCACGUCACCAAUAUUCCCGUUGCAUUCUAGAAUUUUUCCUUUUUGUUCUCUGAGAAGUGGCUGGCAAUAAUUGGAAGGUCUGCUUUCUUGUAGGCAACCAUUUGCUCCCAUUUGCUCUUAAGGUGCAUAGGACUUUAUGAUUCCUUAUGAUUUUGGUGGCAGAUCUGAGCCUCCUUUUUCUUCUCCUACUUCAUUCUUGCUUCGUUUUUUUUUAUUUUUGGGUAAAAACGUACAGAACUUAUCUGAACUAUAAACAAUUUUGAGUUGGUUAUUCAACCUUUCAAAAUUUUGAUUUUACUAUCCAACUUUUCAAUUUAUUUGCUUUGAGUCGGUCAAUGGUACUUUGAACUCAAAAUUUGAAUACAUCGUUUAUCUUUGUAGGUUUAGUUAGUAUACUUCAUGCAAUUUUCGCAACUAUAAAUUCAUUAAAGUAAUUAGCUUAAAUUUUGAGAGAGAAAGAGAUGGCAUAACUAUCCGCUUCGUUCAUUCUUUAGAAAUGAACUAAGUGAGAAAUGUGAGGCAAUUAGUCUUCAAACAUGUAACCUUGGGUUCCAACCAUUUAGCUCUUAGCCAACUGCACUAGGUACGGUCAGUUACUUCAUUCUUGUUUAAACUUUUAAUAUUUUUUUAUAUGUUCUUUCUGAUUUUUUCAUGUUUUUCCAUGUUGGUUGUUGCAUGUAGGGGCAAUUUUUCUCGUUUGCCAUUGCUCGUCUUUAAACUUGUGUGAGAAUAUUAUCAAUGUAGGGUUUAAUAUUGUGGAGUAGGACUUGUGUGCUAGUAGGAGCACGUAGGCCUCCGUGCUCCUAAGCCGUUUUCAAUGAUGAGGCUUUUGAAACAAUGAUCAGCUCCGUUAGACUUGAUUUAGCGUAUUUGAAAUUUUUUGAAAAAUAAUUUUUUCGGAUUUCUGAUAUCAUUCACCUAGUGAUCAAAUGAAUUCAAAAUCAAUAAUUUUUAAUAGUUGAUGUAUGCCGUUUGCAAGUUUAACGGUGUAGAAGUAUUUAAAUCAGAUGAAAUUUUGAUAGAAAAUUUUUUAUACUAUCUACAACAAGAUUAAUAUCUCUGAUAAAAAAAUUUUGUGCUAUAUCAUUACUUUUUUAUGAGAUUUUUAUUUUCAACCAUUGAUUUUGAGUCAUUUCGAUUCUUAGGUAAAUGAUAUUGAAAAACCGCAAAAUUUAUUUUCUAGAUAGUUCAAAUACGAAUUAUACGAUAGAUCAAGUCUAAUGGAGCCGAGCAUCGAUUCGAAAGUUACAUCAUCGAAAACCUCUUAGGAGCACAGAGACCUCCAUGCUUCUAAUAGCACAUGAGACCUACUCUAAUAUUGUGAAUUUCAAAUUUUUAGGGAUGUAUGUGCGGACAAAUACAAGCACCUGCCAUACCUCUAAGUGGUUCAAAACUUCAAAUGGCAGCAGGAAGAGGGAGGGCAAACUCAUGCAAAAUUUCCAAAACACUUGUCAAAUCUCGCCCUUUAACGCCUUGUGCAAUUUAAAGUUUUUCUCUUAGUUUUUAAUGCCUUUUUUUCGUUGAAGGAGGUGGUGAUGAUUGCUGGUUGAGAAUAUGCCUAAUUUUUUCUCCGUGCUUUCGUUUUCCUCAGAUUAUGGAAAACAGGCACACUUAAUACACAGGAAAACCUAAAAAAUCGGGUUCAUAUUUGAUAAUCCAAGGGUGACUAGAUCAGGUUGGUGGGUGAGCUCUGUCCAUCUGAUGCCCACCCUUCAUUAGUUUGUUGGAUACUUGGAAAGGCAUAUUAUGGGGCAGUGUAUACUGACAUAGCGCACCGUGUGCCGGCAGUAGCUUCUCAUAUAACUUCUCAUUUCCUCGGACUCCUGUUAUCCGUGAAGAGGCAGGGGCAUAAAUCGGAGGUCUGCCGUUCUGCAGAAAACCAUCUGCUGCUGUUUGCUCUUAGGGCUGGUUUGGAUAUCAGAACAGGCUAUCCAAGAAUAAUUUGUCCACUGUGAAGAUUCUCUUUUGUGACAGCGAGAUACAAGUUCAAUUCCAUUCUGAAAUUUCCUUUCAGUGUGGUUUGUUAUCUUAAGAUCAAACAAACUGACUGAUGCUUCUCGUUUUUUUAUUAUCCAUGUCAUUCCCAUAUCAAAGAACUGUUUUGAUGAUCGCCGGCGGUAGAUGCAAAGUACGCUGUUAAUGUUCCUGCGAUGCAAAGUUUUAUCUGAGGCCCCCUUACAUUGUCGACACGAUAAUGUUGUUAUUUACAACAGCUCUCCAGGGUAAAACAGUGAUUGUAGUUUCAGAUGAAUUACAAACAAAGGAUAUAGAAAGAGUUGAUACUUAACUAGCAGGGGAAUGUUUUGUUUCAGUUGUAUUCUUUCAUUUUGUUUCAGAUUGCUGUUUUUCUGUGGCAAGUAAGUUUGCUGAAACUGAUUUUGAAUGUGUUGCUGUAAGUUGGUUUACAUUAGUCUUUGCCUUUUUGUUACUCUUCAUACUUUGAAGGAUAGACAUGUUGGAUUUAAUCUCUCUUCUGUGAAUGUGGGCAAUUUUUUUUUUUCUUUUUCCCCAUAGGCAAUCCUUCAUACAAGUAUAUAAUUUGAUGGUUGUGACAAUAGACGUGGCAUAAUUUUAUGCCUCCUUUUUAUUGUUUCUUCUGCCUAGCUCCUUCCUUGGCUUCUUUUUAAGAAGCUUGGCUUCUUUUCGAGGUUGUUCAUUUUUUUCUGUGCCCUUCUUGGCUCCCUCCCAAAAAUCUUGGCUCCUUUCCGAAGUUGGACCACGUUGGUCUUAUUUCCGAAGUUUAGCCCCCCCUCUCUCUCUCUCUCUUAUCCAGCUGGCUACCUGUUUCUCUCUCUUUCCUCCUCUCUUUCCUUCUCCUCUCUAUCUUAGCCCCCCUCUCUCUCUCUCGCCGUCGCCCGGGGUCGGCAAGGGAGAGCACAGCGGCAGCAGCAGCGGCCACGGAGGCCGCGGGGGCGUCGAGGGCGGAGAUGUCUGCCGCCGAGGGGAGGGCCGGCGCGCGGUUGGAGAGUGAGCGGUGGCAGGCGGGGAGAUGGCUCCCUGUUUCUCUCUUUCCUCCUCUCCCAUACUCUCUCUCUCUUCCCUUCUCUCUAUCUUAGCUCCCCCCUCUCUCUCUGAGUAUAGCAAAUUAUACGCUGGGUUCAUUACCAUCUCCUUUUCUUUUCUUUUUCCCCCUUUUUUAGUCCAAAUAUAUGAUUACCAUUNAAGAAUAAUCCUCAUUGAGCCUCAGAGGCAUGUAUCAAUAUGUAAUAACAGGACAUUUAUUUUUAUUUUUAUUAUAUUUUUAAAUUUAUAUUUCAAAUUUUAAAUUUUAAAUUUUAAAUAAUUAUAUAUUAUUUAAUUAAAGUUUUAUUUUAUUUUAUUUUUUUUAAGAGAUAGGUAGCACGCUACCCGCUUCGUUUAUUUCAUUUAAAAAUAAACUUAGCUGAAAAUAUGAAUCAACUAAGAUUCGAAUUUGGGUCACAGGUACCAACCAUCAAGUCCUUUGCCACUUGCUCUAGGGACGGUCGGUAAUUAAAAUUUUAUUUAUUCGCAGUGAAGCGCGGGUUUUAUACUAGUAUUCAUUAAUAAAGAGUUUGGAUACAAGUUUGGGGAAAACAAUGAAACAUUAAUUAUCACAUAAAAAAUGGAGAAUGAAGAAAUGUAAACCCCAACGUAAAUAGAGUACGCCUGAAAUAUUUCAUUGUUUCUAGCUUUUGGAUUAAAUACUAUUUCAUUGACACUCACUAAAUAUAAGGCAUUUAAGUGUUAAAAAAUAGAUAAUAAAUACAUUUUAUAUUAUUGAUAGUAAUUUAGUUCCAUUAAUAUAAAUAUGGAGGAAAUGCCAUAAAAUAAACGUCCCCAUCCUAAACCAAAAUAAAUUGAAGGGAAAAAUUUUGUUGGCGGUUUCCAAUGUAAAUAAGGGAGAAAUCUUUCCGAAAAAAUAAAAAUAAAAUAGAAAGUCUCCAAGCCUAAAUAAUGUAUAUAAAGUUACCUAAUUGAAAUUUUACUCUAUGAUCAAUUGAUCAUUCCUUCUUUUUUUUUUUUUUAAAGUAAUACUACUAUGUCUAAAAUUAGUUUGGCCCAUGAUCACAAUACCUCUUUUGUGCUCACUGCAUAUAAAAUUUACUAAACACUAAACAGUUACGUUGAUUCUUAAUAUACUCCAAAAGCAUCAAUGACACUGGUUUAUUGGCCUCAAAACUUAAAAGAGUUGUAAUCCGAAGAAAAAACAUUCAAUAACAAAAAAUAUAUAAAAUUUAGGUUUAAGUCAAAAAAGAACCCAUGCAUGACCAUCCCCUUGUGAGAACUCAUUCACCAACAACAAAAAGCCUUAUUAUAACCCUUAUAUUAUACAUAUAUAAAAAAUAUAUUUCAAACCAAUACUAUUGUAUAUGAGAUAUUUAUAGAAAAAUACUAUUACAAAAAAAAAAAAAUGUUAUUGUGCUUUUGUACAGUGUGCCUCUGGUUAGAUAUUGUUUUAUACAUGCAUGAACCUCAUUAAAAUAUAAAAAAGACAAUAUCCAAAACAAAAGGCAAGCAUUAAGCAACAAACAGAGAGUUUUAAGCAAAUAUGCACAUCAUAAAACUACAGGAGAUGUUCAAUAGCAACAAGCAUCAUCUUAUACAUACAUCUGUUUUAUUUGUGGGAUAAAGAUAUAAACAAACAUUGUAUCUACUCAUUUAUUUGCCAAAGAGGGACUUGAUCCACCAGAAUCCCUUGUCAGUAGGAGCAUUCUCCGGCGGCGGGUCCGACUGCGGGGUCUUGCGCAGCUUGCUCACAUCAUAGCCUUCCUCUUUAGCCCUCUCCACAAGCUGGUUGUAUACCUCAUCAUCCAUGUGAGUUUGCCUGCAUAGUAUCUACAACAGCAGCCAAAAAGACAUUUAGUGAAUGAUGCAUAUGCAUGCAUAUACACUUGAAAAGUUAAAAGCUAUCUCCAUUAAUGAAGCGUAAAAAGAGAAUCAUCGUCAAUGGAAUCAAAUCGAUCGGUCGAUGAAUUGCAUUAGGAUUUCUAGAACACAAGGAGUUUAACCACUCUAUCAUUGCAGUAAGUCGAACGGCACGCACGACAGCUUUUGAGAUAGAAUUCGUAUCCGAUAUUAGGCCACAUAAUCUCUUAUUUUUUGAAGUCAAUUUUCCAGUCAUUAGCAUAUCUGGAUAUUGAUUCUUCAAAAUAUUUCAUAACACAUACAAUGUACUCUAUGAUAGCAUAAGAGCAUUUCUUACAAUUAAAGAUACUAUCAAGAUUUUGUCAACCCUGUACUGCUUAAUUGGUUAGCCGAACGAAAAAUUGAGGAAUUCAUUGUAGUUAAUCUCCUUCAUAGUCAUGAAGGGUUCAGCAGUGAGGGAAGCUCAGAAGUUAAAGAGCAAGUAGAAGCACAAAAAAGUCUCUACAAGCUUAACAGAAACUUCGUAUUAUAGUGAAAAAAGAAAAAAAGAAAAAAAGACAAUUAAGACAAUUUAAGAAUGUCAAUUAGAAACUUCAAAUUUAUUGAUCAUGCAAAAUAUCUCAUAGUUGAUAGCCGCACUAGGGCUACAAAUGAAUCUAAAGGGAAUCAAAGCCAAAGAAUAGGUUGCUCUAUUUAUAUUCUUAGCUCUUAUCUGCAACAAUCUCAGGCCAAAACAGAUAAUUUGCAGCUGCAAUUAAAAUAUGAAAAGUCCACAAAAUUAGCCAAAUCAAAUCACUCAUGAACAAUUCAUUCAUAUCAUUUGCAGCUUAAAGAACCGCUACUUCCAACAAGUACUCGAAACAUCAUUGAUGCAGAGUUUUGAUGGUUAAGAUAUCUGGAGGCCAAGAAACUAAUAUUCCACAUCCACAAAUUUUCUACCAAUAACUCGAUUACAUAAACUGUCUAACUCUAAUGCUAACACCGCAACACUCUCUUAUCCUACUGUAAUAAUCUCUUUAUGAUGAUUCACGAGAAGAUGCUUUUGAUAAUUAGACAAGCUAAAUGUGCUUAUCGUUUAUCAAUUUAAGCCUUCUCCAACCAUAUCCAAAUCUAGAUCACGAUUUAAAGAAAAGCCGACUUCAGAAAAUAGCUGCUAGAUUUCUCUGAAUCAAACCAACACAUAUUUCACUCAAAUUCCUAUCAAAACAGACAGACAGACUUAUAAAGAAAUCUGCAGAGCCAGUUCUCCGUUGUGCUUUACCAGCCAACAGACUAAGCCAUCAAAAAUUUCCCUACUCUCCAGUUCAAAUUUCCGCUUCAACCAUAACCAAAAAGUUUCGUCAUCUCUCAUCGACUCACAAGAUACCCACUAAUCCGAAAAUCUAUUCAAGAAGCAUCUUAGGCAUGCAUGGAAAUGUUUGAAUACUAUAUCCUUGGAUAUGUUUUGACCAGGUUAUGCAGAGAAUUUCUUCUUUUAUGCAAUCUAUGAGACUGACGCCAUGCAAAGCCCUAGCAGUUGUAAUUUCAUUUUGAAGAUUAUGUAUUCCACCUCCGAGGAGCAUGUUAAAAAUCGAAUAGGCUAUGCUACUACAAGUAUCCAAUCAUACUCCUCGUAUACCAUGACCGCAAUGGUCUCGAAUGAAACAACCAGAUGUAUUGGACAAGAUAUAGAGAAUGUUUGAUUUCUUGAAAAAGCAUAAAAAAUAUUUUUUGAAAAAAAAAUUCACGAAAAACCCUAUUUUCUACCGUUUUCGUUCCCCGGAUAAAAAAUUCAAUUUAAAAAAAGGAAAACACUAUAUUGUCAUAAAAUCUAGAAGACACAUUUUUACAUACGAAAAAUACUUUUCGGCUAGAAAAAGAGUUUUUAGAAUUAUUUGCCGGAAAACUAAACACCUCCUUAGCAUUUCUCAAUAAAAUGCAACAACAAGAAUAACACGAGCAAAGAAGAAUAAGAAAUAAUGUUUCCUAUCUACUUUUUGAUCCUCAAAUACCUUAGGUUUAGUGGCGGUAGGUGGAAUAGUAUUUAAUUCAAGGGAUAAGAAUUAGAUAGCAACUACAACUACUAUUCAUAUAAAAGAAUUCGAAUUAUUAUUCCAAUAAUAAUAAGGGUAAAUUACACUAGUGGUCCUUAAACUAUGAGGCGCGUGACACUUCAGUACUCGAACUUUAAUUCGUUAUCCUAUUUGGCUCAUACUAUGAGGUAUGUAACACUUUAGUUCUCGAACUUUCUGAAUUAUAGCAAUAUCCUACCUGAUAAUGCAACAAUAAUUUAAAAUACUAGAUAUUAAUAAAUUCAUCAAUACUUACUCAAAAAAAGAUAGAUUGUGAUUUCAGAGAAAGUUUGAAGACUAAAGUGUUCCAUGUCGUGUAGUUCAAGCUAAAAAUUAAGACGAAUUGAAGUUCGAGAACUAAAAUAUCAUGCGCCGCCUCAUAAGGACCAAAAGUGUAAUGAUAACGACACAACCAGAUAGCAAAUAGUAAUUUGUUGAGACUAAACCACGAGCCUAAAAUACUUAAGCUCGAUUAUUAUUACUAGAAUGCGAGGUCUCAUAUAUUCAAAUCCAAAAGUGUAACUGUACCAACCCGAAGCAAGCGAUAAGCCCAAACUACUGGCCCGAAAUGAUUAAGUUCAGUUAUUAUUGAUGUUAGUGUGAGACCUCGAAUAUUUCUACUCUGAAUAAAUAAUAAAUAAUUUUUUCAUCAGAGGUGGGACUAUUACUGGUAAAAAUAAAAGUAAAAAAAAAAAGAAUGACAGAAUGACUGGUAGGAAUAGCAGCAGGAGGAGGAAUAGGAAGGUAGGAAUAAUGAGUCAUGAUUCAUACCCAGAGGUACUUGCGGGAGGGCUGGCCGACGAGGGCGUACUGGUAGUCGUCGUCGACGUAGAGCACCCAGUAGUCGCCGACGACGGGGAUGAUGGGGAGGAAGGGGGGCAGGUAGAACUUGACCUUCAGCUUGGCCUCGUCGCUGGCCGGGUCGGCCUUGUACGCCGUGCCCUCGAUGUAGUCGCGCUUCCCGCCGCUCCACGUCUCGUUCAGCACCCGCACCGUCUUCCCGUCCGCCUCCAGCGCGUACGUCGCCCGCGUGCACCGCCCGUCCUUCGGCUGGAAGAACGACGGGAAGGCGGCGAUCUCGUACCACCUCCCCAUGUACCGCUCCAAGUCCAGCCCCCGCACCACCCUCAUCUCACUACCACUAUCCUUACUCUUCUUCCCUCCCGCCAUUUCUUUCUUUUUUUUUUUUUUCUCUUUUUGUGUUUUGUUUCUUGGUUUUGAGCGGAAUUGGGAUAGAAAGGUUAUAUUAUAUAUAUGUAUAAAAUUUGCUGUCGAGAUAAGAGAAAGCGAGAGAAGAGAGGAGGGUGACGUGGAGGGCGUCGGAGCGACACGUUUGGUUUCUGUGGGCUGGGGUUUUGAGGAGGUUCUAGAGUCCUGUUGGUGGUGCUGGGCUUGCUUGGAAUGCGACGACCGAGUGUGCGUGUGACGGCACCAUGACUUUUUGGGCAAGAAAUCCUCGCAUUCGCACCCAAAAUAGAAAAAAGAAAAAAAAAUCUAUAACGAAGCAGGUCAUAUUACCGAUAAUGAGUAUUAUCAAUCAAUCAAUCAAUCAGAUUAUUCUACUAAAAUUUAUUUAUACCAUUAUAUAAUGUGAUUUAGCUGCUAUAUAUAUAGUAAACUUUUUUCAAACUAGAGUGUAAAUAGAGGUACAAAUUAUCUACAAAGUAAUGGUUUUUAAGAGAUUUGUUUAGUUUCUCUAAUUUUUUUAAAAAAUUUUUCAUCCGUUUUGUUUAAAGAAAAUUAGUUUUUUUAAAAAAAAAAUUUAAAUUUUAUAGAAAACCAGUAUUUCUAUUUUUCAUUUUUUUAAAAAAUAAAAACAGUUUUCAUGAAUAUGAAUAAAAACUAAAGAAAUAGUAUUUUUGAAACUAAAGGGGUAAAAAACUGAAAAAAAAAGGCUAAAUUACGGAAAACCCUCCGUCAAAACCCGCUUUUUUACUUCUCUUCCUGUCAUUUAAAAACCUACACUUUGCCCCCUUGUAAAAUAAAAAUGUUCACAGGAGGUACGGUGUGACAAAAUGACCAUUUUGCCCUUCGCCAUUUUCGUCUUCUCCCCCAUCCUCCUCAUCCGCGGCAGAAGAGGCCGAUCUCGGGCGGGACGCAGGCGACGAGGCCGUCGUCGAGGAGGACGAUCUCGUUGAGGGUGUCGGCCAUGCGGCCGAUGGAGUGCGGGAUGUAGCCGCCGAGUUUGCUGUGGGCGAGGACGACGAUGGAGGCCGGGGAGUCGCCGAGGUUGGAGGGGAUGGGGCGGCUGCGGCGGAGGCGGUUGGAGUUGAGGAAGAUGGCGUCGAGGGAGCGGUCGAAGAGGAGGUUGAGCUCGUGAAGGAGGGCGAGGCCGGCGAGGGCACCGUCCCGGAAGCCAUCGAAGCAACAAGGAAGAGGGGCGGAGGGGCAUUUUUGGCAUAAAAAAAAAUGUUAUAACGGAACCCUAACGGUAGGGGGUGAAGUGCACAUUUUUUAUUUUACAAGGGAGCAAAGUGUAGGUUUUUAAAUGACAGGGAGGAAAAGUGAAAAAGCAGGUUUUGACAAGGGGUUUUUUUGUAAUUUAGCCAAAAAAAAUUCAUGAAUAGCUUUUUUUUCUCAAAAUGUUCUCUCUAGUAUUUCCAGAAACCAAACAAAUCCUAACUACAGAGCAAAUUUGAGACGAAUUUAUUUUUAUUUUAUUUUUCAUUUCCUCUUAUCUUUUCAUUUACGGCGGGUCAAAAUAGUGGUAGAAUUUUGACAGAUGAGGGCAAAAAAGGGCCCUCCUUCUUCUUUCUUUCUUUCUUUUUUUUUUUUUUUUUUUUUCUCUUUUUGCACCUCAUUUACUAUAGUAUCCAAUUUAGGGCGAAUCAAAGACGAGAGCUACACUUAAACAUAGAGUGUAAGUCUUAUAUUCACCCACCAAAGGAAAAGUUACACUCCAAGUCCUCAAAUUAUGAUGUGGGUGAUAUUUUAGUUCUCCAAUUUUAAUUUAUUAAAACUUUUAGCUCGAACUUCGUAAAUAGUUAUAAUCAAAUCUCAUAGUCUAAUUUAAUUAAUAAAUUUUAAAAAUACCGCUAAUGUGGAACAAUAGAAAUGACAUGGCAAUAUUAUGACUGAUGACACAAAUGAUUAAAAUAUUAUAUUAUUUCUAUAUUAAAAACACGUCAAUAUUUAAUCAACUGAAUUGAGUUGUGAGAUUUAAUUAUAAUAAUUUACAAAGCGGAGACAAAAAUUUCUAAUAAUUUUCUACAUAUUUUUUUCUAUUUCAUCUUAGACUUUAGUUUUCGUCAAAGAUAAACAAUAUGUUUGGCCCUCAAACUAUGGGGCUUGUGACACUUUAGUUGUCAAACUUUAAUUUGUUAUAAUGUUGGGCUUGAACUUUUAGAAUUGUUGAAAUUAAGUCCCACAAUCCAAUUUACUUGACUAAAUUUUAAAGUAUAGUGAUAUAUAUAUGUAAUCUUAAUACUAUUAUAUCACAUCCUCAUUAGUAAUAUAUCAAUAUUUAGUCAACUAAAUUUGGUUAUAGACUUAAUUAUAUAAUAAUUCUAAAAGUUCGGCCUAAAAAUUAUAAUAAAUUAAAAUUUAGGGACCAAAAACAACCAGCCUCAUUGUUUGAAGGCCAAAUGUGCAAUUUACCACCCUUUUAACAAUGUAUGAAUUUUCGAGCUUUAUGUAUCCUUUUGCAAAUGAUUCAGUUUGAAUUUCCCCAAAAUUUCAUUAGUUCUAAUCUUUUAUACAACACAGUGAGAGCUUCAAAACACUCCACUAAUUGUUGUAGAUCAUGUAAUUUGGGUAUAGUCAAUUGAUAUAGAUUUUAUUCAAUAAAAAUUUAGGACCUAUUUGAAUGUCCGAAUAAGGCCAAUAACUUAUGCCUUAGCCAAGUUUCUUUCUUUUAGUGGCCUAUAAUGUGAAAGAAGAAUCAUAGUAAUGAUGAUGUUUAUGUUAAAUAUAAGAUAUUAAAAAGUUAAUUGCACCAUUGAUCUGAAGAAGUUAUUGAUGUUUACACUUUGAUUCCUAAUCUUUUCUUUCGUAUGCGCGUCCAUUGCGUCAAAUCCAAUCUCACCGGCCUCAAAGUCGUCCUUAUCAUAACCACUUCGAUCUUGCACACGCUGUCUAGCUACCGUUCCUUUAGAGCAACCGACGCAAUACGUGUCAAAAAUACCACCAAUCUAUUUUUAGAAAGAUAAUUUCAGACUCUGAUCGUGGUCUGUGUAAGUAGGAGAGGUUUUAUUGGAGUUAACGUGACCUAUUUUGUAGAAAUUAAGCCAAGUUUGAAGAGUUGGUUACUUAACAGCUUCAAUAAUUUAAGUUAUUUGACUGCUCAAAAAAAAAAAAAAAACAGUUACAAUGAAUUAAAAAUCAAGUGGAACUGGCUGGUUCGAUCAUAUCCAACUGUGACCUGGUCUAUACAAAGGUUUAGUUUAAUCUUUUAAACUGGAUAAGUUAAAAAAAACUAUUUUGAAUCGUGCAAACUGACGGUUCAACCAUCGAACCGAUAAAUCAGUUUGGUUUUAAUCGAAUUGAUCGGAUUUUAUAUAUCUACUAAAUUUGGUUUAGAAAUCAAUACUUUAUAAUCAUAUAUGUUAUUAUUAAAAUAAUAGUACACAUACAUAUAUCAUAAAAUUUUUAAAAAAUAUUUAUAAUAUUAUGCUGAUAUUACUGAUUCAAUCAGUGAUUGUGGCUAUUGGAUUCGUUUUCUAAAACAUUGUAUCAGAUCCCAUAAAUUGUAUUUUCUUGAAACCGCGAUCCACGUGUCAAAUGAGGGACACUAAUGGUGUGAAUUGAACAUGUAGAGUCUCAAUUUACCCCCUCAAUCAUGGUCUAAUUGAUUUGGACACAUUUGUAUUGGCCUUUGCUGUGAUGGGAACUGUUGAAUUUGGUCUCUUCCUGUGCCAUUAUGGCUUUUUGUUGUGUCCAUGUUUCUUGCAUGGGAGAGAAAUUAUUGCUUGCAAAAGGAGGAAUUAUUAGUAAUAGGAAUUACUUGGGGAGGAAGCAAGAAAUCUAAAGGGAGUUUCCUAGAUAGUGCUAUUUUUGGUUUUCCUACUUUGUUUAGCUGGUUAUUUUUCAAAAAGAAAACAAAAAAAAAAUUGGAAUCUUUAAAAACAAAAUACUUUAAUUUGUAGUCUCAAAAUAAGUUAUUCAAUGUUGGAAAUAAUAAUUCAAACUUUAAUUAAAAUAUAACUAGAGAUAAGUUUAAAUCUUUUAUUUGAUUAUAAUUAAGAUAUGUAAUUAUCCAAAAUAAAGUUGGAUUUAUCAUCGGUUAUAAUUUGAUGGCUAUAUAUAGUUAGGCAUUGAUUAAUUAAAUGAAUAAGUCAUAGUAGACACGACUGCAUGGGUAUUGCCCAGAAUAUAAUUAAUUGCUUUUUAUGAAUAAAGUAUUAGUUUAGUUAUCUUCUUUCUCCUCCAAUAUCUCUUCUCUAUAUUAUUUUGUUUUAUUUUAGAUCUUGGGUUAUAUAAUCGGUAUCAGCAUAAAUACCAGUUCCAACAAGUGGUAUGAGCAAAUCACGCUUCCAACAUUCAAUAAUAAUUUAUUCGUAUAUAAAGAUUUUUUUUUAGUUAUUGAAAGCUUUGAGAUUUGUUUUUGCUCAUUUUUAAAGAUUUUGCCUUUUUUCUUUUCGAGAUAGCAUAUUUUAUCUAUAGAAAAAGGCUAAAUUACAGAAAAACCUCCUGUAAUAACCUGCUUUUUCACUUUCCCCCCCUGACAUUUAAAAACCUACACUUUGCCCCCCUAUAAAAUGAAAAAUGUUCAUAGGGGGUUUACGGUGUGUAAAAUGACCAUUUUGCCCCUCGCCAUUGUCGUCUUCUUCCCCAUCUUCCUCAGCCGUCCCUUCGUUCGGCCGCGAUUUCGACCUCAAUCGGCCGCGAUUUCUCUCCAUUUCCUUCUCCACCUGCUCCUCUUCUCCUCCUGCACCCUCGCCGCCCUCGAUUUCGGCGACAGUAGGAGAAAAUCGAGGUGGGCGACAGUAGGAGAAGGGCAAAAAAGGCGAAGGCAAGGCGGCGGAGGACGGCGAAGGGGAUGUGGGUGAGGGUGAGGCAGUGGAGGACGGCGAGGCGGCUAGGCGGCGAGGCGGCGAGGCGGCGGCGAGGUGGCGAGCCGGAGGGAGUCGAAGCAACAGGGAGAUGGCGGAGGGGUAUUUUCGGCAUAAAAAUAUAUUUUUUAACGGAACCCUGACGGAACCCUAACGGUAGGGGGUGAAGUGCACAUUUUUUAUUUUACAAGGGGGCAAAGUGUAGGUUUUUAAAUGUCAGGGAGGGAAAGUGAAAAAGCGGGUUAUUACAAGGGGGUUUUCUGUAAUUUAGCCAUAGAAAAAAUAUUUGAAAUAUCUAUUAACCUAUAUGAAUCCCUAAUGUUUGUUGCCACAUGGCAAGCUCUUCUUCACCCUCAUUACCAUGUGACCCUUCUUAUUCCCUUCACCAAAUCUUCAAUAUGCAUUUUAACGGAUCCACUAAUCAAACUUUCAAUUAGUGCAAUUAAAUGGUCCACUACCAUCUACAAUUUUAUCGUUUCUAUUUACAAUUAUUUAUCAUGACUAUUUUCCUUCCCUCUACUAUACUUUUAAUUAAUGCAAACGGUCUCACUAUCAAACUUCCAGUUAGUAUGUUUAAAUGGUCCCACUACCAUCUACAAUUCUAACCUCUCUAUCUCCAAUUAUUCAUCAUGGCCUUUUCUUCCCUCCGUCGGGCUUUCAAUUUUUUAUCUCCAAUUUAUUCAUCAAUUUUCUAUCUCUCAUAUUUUGCUAUACACCAUCGCCUCCUUCCCUCGCUCCCUUCUUCUCUCUCACUAAUGAGCAUCCACUUUCCCCCUCCGCCGCGGUUGGAGGGAUCGUCGUCGCCGUCACUAUCACCAUCGCCGGAGAAGUCAUCAUCGGGCUCAUAUCCGGCGCCAAUAGUGAGAAACCUUUGAUGAAUGUACCAAGUGACAUACACAAGAGAAUAUUUAAUAUUUUCUUAUUACUAAUUGCUACUACGGUUUCUACCCGCUGCAAAGCGCGGACCCAUUCACUAGUAUAAUUUAAAGGAGGAUUGCAACAGUCUAAUCUAACUAGAAAUUUGAUCACACCCAAUAUCUACCAAGUGCUAUAAAUAAAAGAGAUACGGACUAUAUUUGAAUGCAUAAAUAUAUUUUUUAGGUAUAUUUCUUUAGGGGCAAUUGCCUAUACACCCCUGAAAAGUUUUCGAUUUUCUUAUUUACCCCUCUUAGAAGGCUAAUAUUGAAAAUACCCUCCUUAUAUUCCAAAUUCUUUCUAAUAUAUCCUUGGAGUUAAAUUCCAGGUGUUAACAGUUGCCGUUAACUCUGGAAAAUUAUCAUUUUGCUCAUUCCAAUAUACCCUUGUAUCGUAACUAACUUUUCUUAUAUACCCUUCAUAUUGCAAAUACUUUUCUUAUUUGCCCUUCAAAUAUCAAUUAAUUAAUUAAGCACAGUAGAUGAACGGAUGAGAUCGAUCGCAGCUAAACCAACCUUGGUGGCUGGAGGCAUAGUUAGUUAAUUCGGAUUCGGCAAAAAUUCGGUACGGACAAAAUUCGGAUAAAAUUCGUCUUUUAAUUUUCAAAUUCGUUGAAAAAUACGGCUAAAAAACGGAUUCGGCAAUUAUUCGGAUACGUGAUUUAUACGGGUAUUAUACGUUCACCAAUUAAAAAUUCGGAAUAAAAAAUUCGGCUAUAUAACAAAUAUAUAAUAAUUAAUAUACUAUAUAUAUUAUUAGGCCAAUUUGCAUAAAAAAUUCACUUAUUUUGGGCUUUUUGCAAAAUCGGGC
rnacentral:lncRNA from 1 species